UACGAAGGGGGCUAGCGUUGCUCGGAAUCACUGGGCGUAAAGGGUGCGUAGGCGGGUCUUUAAGUCAGGGGUGAAAUCCUGGAGCUCAACUCCAGAACUGCCUUUGAUACUGAAGAUCUUGAGUUCGGGAGAGGUGAGUGGAACUGCGAGUGUAGAGGUGAAAUUCGUAGAUAUUCGCAAGAACACCAGUGGCGAAGGCGGCUUACUGGACGGGUACUGACGCUGAGGCACGAAAGCGUGGGGAGCAAACAGG
rnacentral:rRNA from 1 species